CUCGGCCUUUCGCGGUUUUAACGCCUAAACCUGGUCAGGACCGGAAGGUAGCAGCCACAAGGGAUGCUUGAGGCAGGCGAG
rnacentral:SRP_RNA from 24 species